GAGUAACCUUUUAGGGAAGAUAAGCUAGUGGAGCGUGCUAAAGCACUUAAAGUAAGUGCUGGAACAGAUCCCAGAGCAGACCUUGGUCCAGUGAUUAGCAAACAGGCAAAGGAACGGAUAUGCAGAUUGAUUCAAAGUGGUGUUGACAAUGGUGCCAAACUAUUGCUUGAUGGGAGAAAUAUCGUGGUUCCAGGAUAUGAGCAUGGGAACUUUAUAGGUCCCACCAUCUUGUCUGAUGUCGUUGCUCAUAUGGAGUGUUACAAGGUAUCUUACUCACAAUCCCAAAUAUUUGCAUCUUGUCUUCCAGAUGAACCUUGGAUAAUCUCCAAUUCCAAAUGAGUUUGACAAGUAGAUCCUACCGUAAAUUUCACUAGUUUCUAUUCGGGUUUGUUUGACGCAUGUGGAAAUCUUUGGCCCAGUUCUUCUUUGCUUGCAGGCUGACAGCUUAGAAGAGGCCAUAAACUUUGUCAACAGAAACAAAUAUGGAAAUGGAGCUUCCAUAUUCACCACCUCUGGUGUAGUCGCAAGGAAAUUUCUAACUGAGAUUGAGGCCGGGCAGGUCGGCAUCAAUGU